CAUUCGGAUUGGAGUCUGCAACUCGACUCCAUGAAGCUGGAUUCGCUAGUAAUCGCGCAUCAGCCAUGGCGCGGUGAAUACGUUCCCGGGCCUUGUACACACCGCCCGUCAAGCCAUGGGAGUCGGGAGUGCCUGAAGUUCGUGACCGUCACAGGAGCGACCUAAGGCAAGACCGAUGACUGGGGCUAAGUCGUAACAAGGUACC
rnacentral:rRNA from 1 species